rnacentral:rRNA from 1 species
UACGUAGGGUGCAAGCGUUGUCCGGAAUUAUUGGGCGUAAAGAGCGUGUAGGCGGCCAGGUAGGUGGGUUGUGAAAACUGGAGGCUCAACCUUCAGACGUCGACCCAAACCCCCUGGCUAGAGUCCGGAAGAGGAGAGUGGAACUCCGAGUGUAGAGGUGAAAUUCGUAGAUAUUCGGAAGAACACCAGUGGCGAAGGCGGUGCUCUGGGCCGGAACUGACGCUGAGGAGCGAAAGCGUGGGGAGCAAACAGGG